GCGAAAUGAAAGUAAAUGACUCUUUAGAGUCUGAUGUGCGAUCUUGUAAAAAAGUGUAGCAUGGCCCCAUUCUAACUGUUUACAGUAGGGUGGCGGAAGAGCGUACGCGGUGAGACCCGAAAGAUGGUGAACUAUUCCUGAGCAGGACGAAGCCAGAGGAAACUCUGGUGGAAGUCCGAAGCGGUUCUGACGUGCAAAUCGAUCGUCUGAC
rnacentral:rRNA from 1 species